AGUAAAAGUCGUAACAAGGUCUCCGUAGGUGAACCUGCGGAGGGAUCAUUAUUAUGCGAAGUGUGCUGCCCGGCCCGCGGUCCGCUAACAUCCCUCGUUGAAAACCUGGGGGGCGUCCGCGUGGCCAAGGCUCGCAGCGAGCUACUCCCUGUAAUAAAAAGUGCCUCCCGAGGGAGGUGGGCCUGCCACAGGCCCCGGGGUUUAGCGGAUCUUCAUUCAACCCUUUGUUGUUCAUACUCUGUUGCCUCGGGGGCGACCCUGCCUUGACUGGCUUGGGGGACCCCCGGUGGACAUAUAUCAAACUCUUGCAUAUCUUUGUCGUCCGAGUGAUUAUAUCAAUCAAAAUCAAAACUUUCAACAACGGAUCUCUUGGUUCUGGCAUCGAUGAAGAACGCAGCGAAAUGCGAUAAGUAAUGUGAAUUGCAGAAUUCAGUGAAUCAUCGAAUCUUUGAACGCACAUUGCGCCCCUUGGUAUUCCGGGGGGCAUGCCUGUUCGAGCGUCAUUUCACCACUCAAGCCUCGCUUGGUAUUGGGCGAUGCGGUCCGCCGCACGCCUAAAAUCGACCGGCUGGGUCGAUCGUCCCCUCAGCGUUGUGGUUUAUUCAAUUCGCUAAAGGGUUGUCGAUCGGUCACGCCGUUAAACAAGACCUCAUAUUUUAAAGGUUGACCUCGGAUCAGGUAGGGAUACCCGCUGAACUUA
rnacentral:rRNA from 1 species